AGCGCAGGUGGUUGUAUAAGUCUGAAGUAAAAAGGCAGUGGCUCAACCAUUGUGUGCUUUGGAAACUGUACAACUUGAGUGCAGAAGGGGAGAGUGGAAUUCCAUGUGUAGCGGUGAAAUGCGUAGAUAUAUGGAGGAACACCGGUGGCGAAGGCGGCUCACUGGUCCGGUACUGACGCUGAGGUGCGAAAGCGUGGGGAGCAAACA
rnacentral:rRNA from 1 species